GGUUAAGCGACUAAGCGUACACGGUGGAUGCCCUGGCAGUCAGAGGCGAUGAAGGACGUGCUAAUCUGCGAUAAGCGUCGGUAAGGUGAUAUGAACCGUUAUAACCGGCGAUUUCCGAAUGGGGAAACCCAGUGUGUUUCGACACACUAUCAUUAACUGAAUCCAUAGGUUAAUGAGGCGAACCGGGGGAACUGAAACAUCUAAGUACCCCGAGGAAAAGAAAUCAACCGAGAUUCCCCCAGUAGCGGCGAGCGAACGGGGAGCAGCCCAGAGCCUGAAUCAGUGUGUGUGUUAGUGGAAGCGUCUGGAAAGGCGCGCGAUACAGGGUGACAGCCCCGUACACAAAAAUGCACAUGCUGUGAGCUCGAUGAGUAGGGCGGGACACGUGGUAUCCUGUCUGAAUAUGGGGGGACCAUCCUCCAAGGCUAAAUACUCCUGACUGACCGAUAGUGAACCAGUACCGUGAGGGAAAGGCGAAAAGAACCCCGGCGAGGGGAGUGAAAAAGAACCUGAAACCGUGUACGUACAAGCAGUGGGAGCACGCUUAGGCGUGUGACUGCGUACCUUUUGUAUAAUGGGUCAGCGACUUAUAUUCUGUAGCAAGGUUAACCGAAUAGGGGAGCCGAAGGGAAACCGAGUCUUAACUGGGCGUUAAGUUGCAGGGUAUAGACCCGAAACCCGGUGAUCUAGCCAUGGGCAGGUUGAAGGUUGGGUAACACUAACUGGAGGACCGAACCGACUAAUGUUGAAAAAUUAGCGGAUGACUUGUGGCUGGGGGUGAAAGGCCAAUCAAACCGGGAGAUAGCUGGUUCUCCCCGAAAGCUAUUUAGGUAGCGCCUCGUGAAUUCAUCUCCGGGGGUAGAGCACUGUUUCGGCAAGGGGGUCAUCCCGACUUACCAACCCGAUGCAAACUGCGAAUACCGGAGAAUGUUAUCACGGGAGACACACGGCGGGUGCUAACGUCCGUCGUGAAGAGGGAAACAACCCAGACCGCCAGCUAAGGUCCCAAAGUCAUGGUUAAGUGGGAAACGAUGUGGGAAGGCCCAGACAGCCAGGAUGUUGGCUUAGAAGCAGCCAUCAUUUAAAGAAAGCGUAAUAGCUCACUGGUCGAGUCGGCCUGCGCGGAAGAUGUAACGGGGCUAAACCAUGCACCGAAGCUGCGGCAGCGACGCUUAUGCGUUGUUGGGUAGGGGAGCGUUCUGUAAGCCUGCGAAGGUGUACUGUGAGGUAUGCUGGAGGUAUCAGAAGUGCGAAUGCUGACAUAAGUAACGAUAAAGCGGGUGAAAAGCCCGCUCGCCGGAAGACCAAGGGUUCCUGUCCAACGUUAAUCGGGGCAGGGUGAGUCGACCCCUAAGGCGAGGCCGAAAGGCGUAGUCGAUGGGAAACAGGUUAAUAUUCCUGUACUUGGUGUUACUGCGAAGGGGGGACGGAGAAGGCUAUGUUGGCCGGGCGACGGUUGUCCCGGUUUAAGCGUGUAGGCUGGUUUUCCAGGCAAAUCCGGAAAAUCAAGGCUGAGGCGUGAUGACGAGGCACNNNNNNNNNNNNNNNNNNNNNNNNNNNNNNNNNNNNNNNNNNNNNNNNNNNNNNNNNNNNNNNNNNNNNNNNNNNNNNNNNNNNNNNNNNNNNNNNUACUACGGUGCUGAAGCAACAAAUGCCCUGCUUCCAGGAAAAGCCUCUAAGCAUCAGGUAACAUCAAAUCGUACCCCAAACCGACACAGGUGGUCAGGUAGAGAAUACCAAGGCGCUUGAGAGAACUCGGGUGAAGGAACUAGGCAAAAUGGUGCCGUAACUUCGGGAGAAGGCACGCUGAUAUGUAGGUGAAGCGACUUGCUCGUGGAGCUGAAAUCAGUCGAAGAUACCAGCUGGCUGCAACUGUUUAUUAAAAACACAGCACUGUGCAAACACGAAAGUGGACGUAUACGGUGUGACGCCUGCCCGGUGCCGGAAGGUUAAUUGAUGGGGUUAGCGCAAGCGAAGCUCUUGAUCGAAGCCCCGGUAAACGGCGGCCGUAACUAUAACGGUCCUAAGGUAGCGAAAUUCCUUGUCGGGUAAGUUCCGACCUGCACGAAUGGCGUAAUGAUGGCCAGGCUGUCUCCACCCGAGACUCAGUGAAAUUGAACUCGCUGUGAAGAUGCAGUGUACCCGCGGCAAGACGGAAAGACCCCGUGAACCUUUACUAUAGCUUGACACUGAACAUUGAGCCUUGAUGUGUAGGAUAGGUGGGAGGCUUUGAAGUGUGGACGCCAGUCUGCAUGGAGCCGACCUUGAAAUACCACCCUUUAAUGUUUGAUGUUCUAACGUUGACCCGUAAUCCGGGUUGCGGACAGUGUCUGGUGGGUAGUUUGACUGGGGCGGUCUCCUCCUAAAGAGUAACGGAGGAGCACGAAGGUUGGCUAAUCCUGGUCGGACAUCAGGAGGUUAGUGCAAUGGCAUAAGCCAGCUUGACUGCGAGCGUGACGGCGCGAGCAGGUGCGAAAGCAGGUCAUAGUGAUCCGGUGGUUCUGAAUGGAAGGGCCAUCGCUCAACGGAUAAAAGGUACUCCGGGGAUAACAGGCUGAUACCGCCCAAGAGUUCAUAUCGACGGCGGUGUUUGGCACCUCGAUGUCGGCUCAUCACAUCCUGGGGCUGAAGUAGGUCCCAAGGGUAUGGCUGUUCGCCAUUUAAAGUGGUACGCGAGCUGGGUUUAGAACGUCGUGAGACAGUUCGGUCCCUAUCUGCCGUGGGCGCUGGAGAACUGAGGGGGGCUGCUCCUAGUACGAGAGGACCGGAGUGGACGCAUCACUGGUGUUCGGGUUGUCAUGCCAAUGGCACUGCCCGGUAGCUAAAUGCGGAAGAGAUAAGUGCUGAAAGCAUCUAAGCACGAAACUUGCCCCGAGAUGAGUUCUCCCUGAC
rnacentral:rRNA from 1 species